GUGCUAGCUUUGGCAGCACAUAUACUAAAAUUGGAAGGAUAGAGAGAAAAUUAGCAUGGCCCCUGUGCAAAGAUGACAAAUUCAUGAAGCAUUCCACAUUUUU